AGAGACCUCGCUGGCAGGAAGAUACAUAGGAAGUUUCCAACAAGUGCUGGCACCGUGGGCUCAGCUCUAGACCGUUAGUACCAGUUGCCAGGCUCAGCUUGUGCUCACUUCUCGCCUCCCUCCCCAGCACACAUGUAAUCCGAAACCUCACAUCUCCAGAACGACCAACAACAAAAAAAGCGCUCAAGCAGAGACAGCAGCUGGCUGUCAGCAGCAGAGUGGAGAGGAGCCAAGCGAGGAAAGAACCCCAAGCCAGAGAGGGACAGGAUGCGGGGAGAGAGACGUGAAGUUUAAGACGACAGACAAACAACAACAGGAGGUGGAGGACAGUCCCGCGACACUGUUGGGCGUAACACAACUUGGACAGUGCUGGCCAGGAUGUCUUCCGAAGGCUUUCUGAAGGAAGUACAGACCAUUGGUGAGAAGUUCCUGCUUAAGCUCCAGAAGCUGCCCAAGGCUGAACCUGUGGAGAUAGUGUCAUUUUGUAUUAUCCUCUUCUUUAUCGUUACCGUGCUGUCGCUGAUGACCCUAGCCUGCUGCUGUUGCUGCUAUCGCUGCUGCUGCUGCAAUGGAAGCCCUGAGCAGAGAGGCAGGAAGAUCCAGAUCCAGCCAACUGCUCAUGUGUGAAAUGCAUCAGGAGAAGACAGUGAAAGAGGACAUAGGCAGCCACUGUGGCUGAAUCGCCUGGGAAUGACCCUCUCUACACUAACCUUCUGAACGGGCUGGUGGGAGUGAAUGAGAAUACACUGCAGAGCAGGGGCGGACCAGCAUGUCGUCCUCAACACAAGCGGCUUCCCCAGUUCUGGAAAACUUGAAGAGUUGCAUUCUGACAGAUGAUUGGGCUCUUGCAGGACUACUGGUGAUUGGGUCAUUCUGCACAGUCUUCAUUGCCCUCCUCUUGUUUGCUGCCAUCUUUGGCUGCUGCUCAGCUCCAAAGCGUAAAGCAAGUUGCAUAUAAACAGCAAGGACAAGAAUGGGGCAUUUCAAGAACACUACAACCAGGAAAGAAUUGUCUCAUCCACCAACUGUUUGAUCAGGUCAAAGGGAAGCUUCAUCUUUUAUCCUUCUUGUAUGGUUAAUUCUUCACACGCAGACUUGAGGCACUCACAAUCUGACAGCCCAUUUAUAAGAUUGCAAGGCCCUCAUGCUGUUGUGUACUCAACUACCUUGACACACAAUGCAAUCUCAGUUCAGGACCAUGUGACCGGACAAACCUUACAGUCAAGAUAUUUGCUUGCCUGAACUUUUCCCUGACAAGGAAAAUUACUGGGUUACUGACAUUUUGAAGCUGGAAGACACCCUUGAGUAACCCCACCAAGGUAGCAGCACUUCUUUUUUGCCCCAUAUUUAGAUGGGGAAGGAAAUAGCCCCCAGAUCAGAAGCUCAUCUCGACCCUUCAAUGUGAAAAGCUUUUUCAUUAAAAGAAGCUGAUGCAACGUUCUUUUGCUCUGAUUACAUAACAACCUAAAAUAACGUGCAUGCAAGACAAUCCAAGUGUCUCUCUCUCCUCCUUUCGUUGUAAUUUAGGACCCCACAAGGUCAGGGUUUUUGUUGUUUUGGUUUCUGGAGGUUUGUUUGGUUUUUAUGAAAGUGGGGAGAAAAACCUAUUAGUUUAAAAUAAAAAAAAUGGAUAAUACAAAAACGUGACGUUUCUUUGAACAGUCUCUUAAUAAAGGUUUCCAGGUAGUAGCAAGUUACAGCAGGCAGCAAACAAACCCAGGGAGGGGCCCUGCAGUGACACCUGCAGUAAAGAUCACAGUAAGAUUCUACCCUGGGAUGAGAUGUGGCAUGUAAAAUUUCAGGGGAUAGUGGGGAUUGGUGAAGUUUGGGAAGGGAAGGUUUUGAGGCGGUUGGGUAAAAAAAAGUGAGAUUUAUAAUUGGAAGCUACUUUCAGCCUUAAAUAUAGAGUGGUCAGCAUCUGCCUCCCCCCUUAACAACAGUGCAGCAAGAAAAGGGUGGUUUUACUUUUAAAUGCCCCCAUGGAACAGAAGAAACACUAUUUCCUUCUCCAAUAGUCUCAGCUAAAGAAAAUCUAUUUUUUCCAGGUAAAGUAUUAUUACAUGGGUCUGUCACAUACAAAGUUCCAGAGCACAUACCCAUUGCUUUACUACUGCAGUGGAACAACACCAGGGAGAGUCAUCACUAUAAACAACAGCCAGGCUCCCGUCACUCGAGGGUGGGAGAUGUAAGUCAAGAUGAAGGAGCAAUUACAUGAACCUUAACUAACCCAAGUUCUGGUACUAACACGUACCCUAGAAAGUCCUGCUAUAACUACUGAUGGCUUGUGCAAAAUUAGUUUGGCAGUCUCAGUUCAGUUCCGAGUGCACAAGUGUCCAUUGCAAACCAGCUGCGACGAAACCCUUGCUAGUAAUCUCAGCAGAGAGAUCACGGAGUAAUCAGAGAUGGAAGCGAAGAUCUCUUCACCCCAUAGCUAUUAAAAAGGACUUCUCAUUUCAACUGGCAACAGAGGCAGCCAGCUGGCUACUCUAAGUAUGACCUAAAGGCAUGCAACAGCAGCUGAAGACUGACUUAGCUGCAUAAACUGACCAAAAUAUUAGAGCAUGCUGCCUCACAACAGACACCUAGUGGAACCACCUUAACUGCAACCAGUCAAGCAUUGUUUCAAGGGCAUGCCAAUUAUUCUGACAUUUAGGCCAGACCUCAGGGCAACUGGUAAAAAUCCUUCAGAAUAACCUGUUCAACAGGUCUUGUUCUCUGUCAAAACAUGACUGAAGGCAAUGCCCUCACCAGGACUCCAGCAAUGAGAAAAUAAAUAUUCCCAUUUCCACACUGAAUCCUGACAAAACCACCCUGGAUGCAGAGCCACAUGAUGAAAAUGGAUCCAAGGCUUAUGUAUAAGGGAGGAUAGCCAUUUCCCAGUUUGUAAACAUACACUGCUCUCUUAUUGGGAAAAUUAAGGUCUUGCUGUCUCAAACUAGUGGCACAUAGUAAUUUGUUACAAUUACAGCCUUCUCAGAUUCAUAGUACACUAUUUGUAAUGUGUAUAGUGGUUACAAGUCUGCAUUUAGGUUCCUUGACUUGGGCGUGUGCGUGCUAUGGGCUUGAUCUUGAAAGGUGCUGAGCACCCUAAACUCCUGUUAAGGACAACAGGAAUUAGGGACACUUAGCAUCUUGCAGCAUGGAGUUCUUUUGAUUCAGAGGGAAACAUUAAAGCUAACUGCUUCUACACCAAGAUACUGGGCUUUAGAUCAUGCCUUUCUUUACAGGAGAGAUGAUGUGGCAAAGUCAAAAAUAGACAACUGGAGCGUCCAGUGUGAGUUAGAAAAUAGGAAAAGUUGCGCAAAGAAAUACUGCCCAUUCCCUUUGAUUUCUUUAGCAGAAAAAUGCUGAUGCUGCAUGACAAUUCCAUGUGGUAGCAUGGGAGGAUGUCAUGGUCAUACAGUAGCCCCUUCCCAUAACCAGAUAAUCAAUAUAUAAUGCUAGGUGCCAAUUUCACACUCUGAGGUCUUGGUGGCAAUGGGCACCCCAUUGACAGGAGCUGGAGAAAGAUGAGAUGCUCAGAACAGAGAAGAGAUUAUACUGCAUGUGGUUACAUAAGCCACUGAACCAGCCAGUCUCAGAGGCAGUGACACUCAGAUACAGGGUAGGUGGCCUAAAUCAUCAGUAGAAAUAGCCAGCACCUUAUGUAAUCUAACACAAGGGCCCCUGGUUUCUGCAAUGCAGAACCUGGUGCAGAAUUCUGCAGCAAACUAGGAAUUCCGGGGUAGCUUCAUGUACACUUACAAGUAGAGUGUUUUAAAUAUGUAAAUGCAACUUUUGGCUAUUUAUUUUAAUAUUAAGGUCAGUUUAUUUUAUGCUUCUCUCUGAUUUUCAACAUGCUGCAGAUUUCUGCACUGGCAGCAAACAACUGCCUUGCAGAAGCUGUCAUAUGGGAAGCUGGAGGUUUUAACAGGAGACAGUUGUGUAUUUUGGUGCCUGGAAAGCAGGUGGGCAGAUGAUGGGGUUUGUGCACAUAACAUAAGAAGGGCCAUUGGUUUGACCCAAUGUGGCCAAUCUAGCCUAGUACUUUGUCUUCCAGGAGUAACAACGAAUUAAAAUGAAAACAGGCAGUUCACACCUCUUAGAACUAGUAUUUCUGACAGUCUUCCCAAGUCUAUAGACAGCACUGCAUCUGUUACAUUCAGUUCACAAUUUCCACUAAAACUUUGAGGUCUAGAAAUUUAAGUUUUUCCACAGCAUCAUAGUUACAGAAUACACUGGCAAUAAUGGUGCCAAAGAGGGGAAGAGUAGAUUAAUUCUUCCACCCCUCCU